UACAGAGGUCUCAAGCGUUGUUCGGAUUCAUUGGGCGUAAAGGGUGCGUAGGCGGCGCGGUAAGUCGGGGGUGAAAUCUCGGAGCUUAACUCCGAAACUGCAUUCGAUACUGCCGUGCUUGAGGACUGGAGAGGAGACUGGAAUUUACGGUGUAGCGGUGAAAUGCGUAGAGAUCGUAAGGAAGACCAGUGGCGAAGGCGGGUCUCUGGACAGUUCCUGACGCUGAGGCACGAAGGCCUGGGGAGCAAACGGG
rnacentral:rRNA from 1 species